rnacentral:rRNA from 1 species
ACAUCCCUCUGACCGUCCUAGAGAUAGGGCUUUCCUUCGGGACAGAGGAGACAGGUGGUGCAUGGUUGUCGUCAGCUCGUGUCGUGAGAUGUUGGGUUAAGUCCCGCAACGAGCGCAACCCUUGAUCUUAGUUGCCAGCACUUCGGGUGGGCACUCUAAGGUGACUGCCGGUGACAAACCGGAGGAAGGUGGGGAUGACGUCAAAUCAUCAUGCCCCUUAUGACCUGGGCUACACACGUACUACAAUGGCCGGUACAACGGGCUGUGAAGCCGCGAGGUGGAACGUAAUCCUAAAAAGCCGGUCUCAGUUCGGCANNCAGNCUNCCAA